rnacentral:rRNA from 1 species
ACUACCGAUUGAAUGGUUUAGUGAGGCCUCCUGACUGGCGCCGAUACUCUGGCAACAGAGCGCCGGAUGCCGGAAAGUUGGUCAAACUUGAUCAUUUAGAGGAAGUAAAAGUCGUAACAAGGUUUCCGUAGGUGAACCUGCGGAAGGAUCAUUACCGAUAGUGUCCAAUAUAAAUGAGUGACUUAGGUCGCUUAUUUUGCUCUGUGGAACGGUAUCCAAAGCAUUUGGGGUCGGCCAGGUGCCGUUAAAUGGCGAAUCGGACGCGUCGUCGGCCGCUUCGCCAGCCCCGCCGGUGUCAUACUACCGUACGUGUGUCGUCUGAUAAGUGUGUGCGCGCAUAGCGCACACAAAAAAACGAAGGAAGAGACAACUCUCGACGGUGGAUCUCUUGGCUCACGCAUCGAUGAAGAACGCAGCCAGCUGCGAUAAGUAGUGUGAAUUGCAGAAUUCAGUGAAUCAUCGAAUCUUUGAACGCAAAUGGCGCUCUUGGGUUCUCCCAGGAGCAUGUCUGUCUGAGUGUCGGAUAUUGAACACAACGCAGGCGCCUGCUGCGGCGUUGAGGCGUCACGGCCGGGCUUCGGCCGUGUCCCUUGAAAGGCAGAGAGACUCGCUGCGGUUGGGGUUCCUGCGAACACACGCCAGCGGAGGCUAAAAGUAAGGUCGGCCCUUCGCGUGCUCGCAGGUGGUGGCCCAGCAGAGUCGUGGAGGCGAAUCAAUCCACUCUUCUUGACCUCAGAUCAGGCAAGGCUACCCGCUGAAUUUAAGCAUAUUAAUAAGCGGAGGAAAAGAAACUAACAAGGAUUCCCUCAGUAACGGCGAGUGAAGCGGGAAGAGCUCAAAUUUGAAAUCUCCGAUGCCUGCAUCGGCGAGUUGUAGUUGCGAGAAGCACUUUCUAGGCGGAUCGGCGGUGCCUAAGUUGCUUGGAACAGCACGUCGCAGAGGGUGACAACCCCGUCUGUGGCGCCGGCGGCCGCCG